rnacentral:rRNA from 1 species
UACGGGGGGGGCUAGCGUUGUUCGGAAUUACUGGGCGUAAAGGGCUCGUAGGUGGCCAACUAAGUCGGACGUGAAAUCCCUCUGCUUAACCGGGGAACUGCGUCCGAUACUGGUUGGCUUGAGUUUGGGAGAGGGAUGCGGAAUUCCAGGCGUAGCGGUGAAAUUCGUAGAUAUCUGGAGGAACACCGGUGGCGAAGGCGGCAUCCUGGACCAACACUGACGCUGAGGAGCGAAAGCCAGGGGAGCAAACGGG